CACACACCCAAGCAAAUGAACCCUGCUGAAGUUCACCAUCUCCACUCAGGUUGCUUCCCCAGGAGACCAGCCUUCACUGGGGGAGAAGACUGCCCUGCGACGGGCUCUCCUUGGCAAGCAUAGCAAAAGACAGCCAGCCAUGGCACAGGUCACAGGCAGAAAGGACAGGUUUUACUGGGUGAAGCUGUAUCUCAGCAGACUCCCAGGUUCACCAGGGGUACACCACGUUGGAGCUAGAAGGCUGGAUAUCCAAUGUAUUCGAGGACUUCAGGAUAAUCUUGGCAUCAGUUGUUCUACUAGAAUCUGAACCAAAGACCACUUCAUGGGAGUCUUUUCCUCAAACUUGUAAUAGGUAUGUUUAAGAACCAGCUGUGAUUCCUGGGUGAGGGGAAUGAGAAGAUAAGCAUCUGUAACUGGUGAGUCUGUAUCACAGAAGCUGAAGUCCAGCAUGUUUUCUCCUGCAGUCUUUACCUCUGCCCAAAGGCAGACUCCUAAAGAAUGAUCCAGUGGAGAUGUGGACCCUGUAUACUGGGUUUAAGCCUACUGACAAAGCAUGGGCUCUUUCCAGUCAUGUUUCACAUGGCUUGCUCAGAAGCAGCCCUUAGUUACCUGGCCAUCUAGUACAGAAAAUUCUCAUCAUCUACUUGUGGAAUAGUCAAUAGUUUGGCUAAUGAGAAAUCUCUUUGGAUCACCUAGCUGAUGUGACACAAUUAUUCUACUUUGAGAUAGAGGACACACUGCUUUUAUGUUUGAAUUGAAAUGCCCUUCCCAGACUGUGACUUGAAGGGAGACUGAUGAUAGUUGUACAAGAAACCCUUUGGAAGACUCUCUGGUCCUUGGAUUAUUCCAUGAGCUUGAAGCUUUUCUUGGAUUAGAGUAUCUUCCCAGGAAAUCGAUGGUGGUGUGGGAUUUCAUUUAUCUGCGAGAGUGGAUUGCAUGCCUGAGGUUCUGUGACCACUUUGUUCCAAAAAUGAUGUGUUUAAAAAUAAAUAACAGGCACCAGAUGGCAGCAUUUUCCCUCACUCCGAGUGUGAUCUCAUCCUCUCGAUUCACUCCUGGGAUCAUCAGGCUUUGAGGCUGCGUAAGGCACAAAGACCUCAACGGACCUGCGCCCUCUCUGUCGCCACCUGCUCUUCUUCCCACUCUCACUGGACGUGUAGAGUCACAUUCAGGUGGCCUGGAUGCGAUCCAGGCCCUUGAAAUUGUGGUUUGCCUUUUGCCUGUGCAGGCCUUAAGAGUCCAUAAGAAUCAUUAGCAUACAGGCACGUAAAAAUUUAGAUCCAGCGAACAUGGCUCCGAGCUCUAAAUUUUCCAUAUUUAUUAAGUAGCAUGCAGGGUUUUUUGAUUUUAUGUUUAACUAACCGCUCUUUCCCACGUACAGGCAUGCACCAUGUUAUUUUUGUUUACAAGCAAGUUUUGCAUGUGUUCUUUUCUAUCAACUCUUUAUUCUUUGAAUCUUGAAAUAAUAUUUCAUUGUACACCAGUUAUGUAUGACUAGUUAUGUGCAACUAGGCUUGUAACCUCUGUAGCAAGAACUCUGUUCUGCACAAAUAAUCCAAGGCAGGGCAGGGAUUUUGAGAACUUAACUUUGCAGGCUAUGGUUUCUUUUACAGUUACAGAUGUGGCCUAAAGCUUUGUGGGCCAGGGAUUCUGUUGUCACACCGUUCUCCACCCUGCUUCUUCCCCUCAUCCUCAUGUUCUUGCUUAUAAAUUCAAGUCUGCUUUAUCAGUGGUUUUGUCAUAGAAGAAAAAAAAAACAAAACACAUUAUGUUCAGCUGUAACAAACUACUCAUAAAUAAUCCACCUUUGAACUCUGAAUCUGCAGCACUGGGAUGCAAAUGUUUGUUUACUUGAACUAUGUGACUAACAUCAACAGGCAGCAGAAGAAAGCUAUUUAUCCAAAAUGGGGCUGGAUUGCUGGGCCCCAGAGGGUGGAGGAGGAGUAGCCCUGGCUGCUGCUUUCUUUGACUGUUACUCCAUCAGGUUGCUGGUGUUUCUGCUGUGGUGACUCUGUUAAUGCUUUACAAAUGCUAUGAACUCAGCGGUAGACUAUUUGUGGAUUGUUUAAUUUAUUAACUUCUGACAAGCAGCCCAUUAUUUUUCUGAAGAACAUAUGUGACAAGGGAUUUUUAUUUUUUUAAUUUUUCAGAUUUAAGCCAAAUUCAAUAUGAGUGUCACAGGACAGGGACACUAGACCCUUCACAACUCCACCCUUCCUCUUAUUUAAUACCAAAAUUUAUCUAUAAACAAGCAGGAAGGAAGGAGGGGAGAGCACUUCUCAAAGGAAGUCGUAAGAAUCUUGUAUGAUGAAAAUGUUAGGCUGCAUAAAUUUGGAAAACAGUGCUGUUUUCUUCUGUUCAAAAUAUUCUAAUUUAAAAAAGGCUAAAAUUCCCUCAAUUUUCUUUCACUUUCUUGUAGCAAUCUCUUUCCAGUUCUGGAUUUGCCUGUACUUUGGUAUUAGCUAAUACAUGCAAUCAGGACAGAUGUAGCUAUACUGCCCAAGACAUAUGAAAUAAAUGCACCUGAAAGCUGAGCGGCAUUGCACCACUGAAAGCCAGUUGUGUUGGUUUUACCUUCUAAUAAAGGAGGCAAAGAAUUUGAAAUAUAUCUCCACAGUUUUUAAUGAUUGAUGCAAUCCCUUGUGCACAGUUGCUUUGAAAAGUGGAAGAAAAACUAACUGUAAAUACUGUCUUUUGUCUAACUAUAGCACUGUAAUUACUAACUAGCACCUUCUCUGAGAAAGAUGAGCAGGUACCUGUGAUGAGCUUUGCAAGAGGAGAGGAGAUGUUGAGAAGGUAAAAAGUGUGUCUGGUGUCACUCAGUAUGGAUUCUUACAGCCAUUAUUUAUUUUGGAACUGUGACAACUGACCAAAACAUGGGGACUACAAAUAGGAAUGCAAUGAGUAUUAACUGCGCAAGAAGAAAAAAGCAAUAUAACUUGGCACGCAGCAAAACUUGUAUCUGGUAUACAGCUGUCUGUGCAACUCCCACUGCCAUCCUGGAGGAUUUUUGUGAUUUCUCACUAAGUUU